CCUACGGGAGGCAGCAGUGAGGAAUAUUGGACAAUGGGCGCAAGCCUGAUCCAGCCAUGCCGCGUGCAGGAAGAAGCAUCUAUGGUGUGUAAACUGCUUUUGUACAGGAAGAAACACUCCCUCGUGAGGGAGCUUGACGGUACUGUAAGAAUAAGGACCGGCUAACUCCGUGCCAGCAGCCGCGGUAAUACGGAGGGUCCGAGCGUUAUCCGGAAUCAUUGGGUUUAAAGGGUCCGUAGGCGGUUUAAUAAGUCAGUGGUGAAAUCUGGUCGCUCAACGAUCAAACGGCCAUUGAUACUGUUAGACUUGAAUUAUAAGGAAGUAACUAGAAUAUGUAGUGUAGCGGUGAAAUGCUUAGAUAUUACAUGGAAUACCAAUUGCGAAGGCAGGUUACUACUUAUGGAUUGACGCUGAUGGACGAAAGCGUGGGGAGCGAACAGGAUUAGAUACCCUGGUAGUCCACGCCGUAAACGAUGGAUACUAGNUGUGNGCAUNUGAGUGNGUAGAGAAGAGAUAAGUA
rnacentral:rRNA from 1 species